rnacentral:lncRNA from 1 species
AGACAGAGUUAGCCAAUAAGAAGCCUGAGCAAUAAGCCAAAACAGUUUAUAGUUAAUAUAGCCUCUGUGUGUUUUUUUUGGAAUAAACAGCGGGUGUGACAGAAACUUCCGUCUACAUUACUGUGUUCUGCUGCCCAUCGUGGAACAGAGAAGGAUGUGCGGACUAUACAGAGAGACCCAUAGAAGACAGAGGAGUAGUGUUUCCAGGAAGGAAUCCGCCACACUGUGAGAGGAUGAUGAGAAAUGACUUUAUAGCCAAGAUGCCUUCUUGGAAUAUGAGAAUGAGGCAAGCCUACAAUGUGGGGAAGAAUCCAGGUGAAGGCGAUGGUGUGGGAGAGUGGACAAAGCUUGGCUGUCUCCUAGGAAAUGAACUGAUGGCAAUAAUUGUAGGUGCCACUGGCAUGUAGCCCAUUGGAGAACCACAGUUAUAGCCUCUGUGGUGCUUUGAAAGAAAAUGGCCCCCAAAAGGAGUGGCACUAUUAGGAGAUGUUGCCUUGGAGGAAGUGUGUCUCUGUGGAGGCAGGCUUUGAGUUGUUAUAUAUGCUGAAGCCACGCCCAGCGUUUUAGACCACUUCCUGUUGUCUGCAUAUCAAGAUAUAGGACUCCUAGCUACUUCUCCAGCAUCAUGUCUGCCUGCUUGCCACUAUGUCACACUAUGAUUAUAGUGGACUAAACCUUCGAAAGUACAUGGAAUUCAUCAGGGUGGCCGUACUGGCUGAUUUUGUGAGUCCACCUGACACAAGUUAGAAUCAUCAGAGAGGAAGGAAGGAAGGAGCCUCGACUGAGGAAAUGCCUCCAUGAGAUCCAGCUGUAAGGUAUUUUCUCAAUUAGUGAUCAUGCGGGAGGGCCCAGCCUAUUGU